rnacentral:lncRNA from 1 species
AGCCCAGCCCCCUUAAAUUUUGACCCGACCCAACCUUCUUCCUCCCCUACCCGUUUUCCCCAGAAAAAAAAAACAGAGCCCAGACGCGAAAAUCCCAUGCGACUCCCAGCAGAAACAAGAAACAGCAGCCGCGAAAUUUCCAGGAAAAACUCCCUCCAUCACGUCUCCUUCACGCGUAAACUCCUCCCCCAAACACCCUCCUCUCUCUCCUUCUCUCUAUCGCGCGUGAAGGAACAAAUUUGUGUCGUCUUCCUCUGUGAUUCAUACAACAGUACGCCCGCGUAGCUGCAGCAAUGAAGGCUGCAAAUCCCAUCCUUGUAGCGUAGGAUCAUUCCACGUAAUGGUGCAAGGACACGCGAUUAAUCUGAUCCCUCUAUGUGUGCUCCCUUUCCGUUGGAAUGCGACAAAUUCGAGAGCAUCUUCAGGGCAUAUUCCCUCAACCUUUGGAUAAGAUUUGGGCGUGUAAAGGCAUCUUCCAGCCAUUUCCCUUGGAAAAACCCUAAUUUUCCUCUAUUUAAACUCUCGUCUUGCUUCAGAAAACGGAUUGGAAAAUUCUUGGGGGAAAAUUCUUUCAGUUUUCUUGUUUAUUUCGGAAGACCUAAAGGAGAAUUACAGAGGUUGGAAAUUUUUUUUGGGUAGAUUUGAGCGGAGGAUUUCUUUUCUCUCUAUCAUUUUUUUCUGUUCAAACUUUUUGAGAAGAGUUUCAAGAUAUCUUAGAAAGGGUUUCCAAGAUCGUGCGAAACAAGUGAUCAACAGAUUGGUGAGCUAAUCGAUCUAGCGGCUUUCGUUUCGUCAUUUGGUGUUCGUGUUUUCGUUUGGGGUGGAGGUUGUUGCUGAUGCUGCUCGUUCUCGUCUCAGUCUUGCUGCACCCAAAAAGGUACGGUUUACCUCUUUCGAACUUACCUCAUCUUUGUUGCUUUAAUGCGAUGGUUUUUAGCUGUGACUGUCGAUUUUCUCUAGUGAUAUUCUAAAUCGUUAUAUGUGUUUCUGUUCACCAAUUUGUUGUUCCUUUGUUUCGUUUUUGGGUCAAGUUGUGUUGAGAUACUCGAAUGUGAGUAUUCAUGGUUGGUCUGUUUACGCUUUGACCCAAUGGCUUCGUGUUUGUUUUCAUCUUUGUUUCUCCUUGUGUUAAGUUUAUUUAGUUGUCAUCCGUCAAGUCGCAUCUUAUGCUUUCAUUGCCAAUUUUAUCACUUCCUCCGUUCAUUUGUUUGAGUGCUACAAUCAGAUUCUUGAAAUAUCAGUGUAGUUCUAUUUUGUUCUUUGUGAUAUUUUUUUCUGUUUCGAGUGUUGAAGCAUGUCGUUUCUUCCCCCAUUCCAUACUGGAAGUAGUAAAAAUGUCAAAUUCCAUCUUGCUCAUAUAUAGAAGCGAAUUUUUUUUUUGCGAUUCUCGUUGAUAUUAUGCGCUGUUGGUCCAUGUUUAACAUGCUUAUUUUAUGUCAUUCCAUUUUGCUGUGACCUUCCUCAACUAUAAUACGUAAUAAUAAUGCGAAUAUGUUUGUUUCUUCAGUUUUCAUCCGCUGUAUUUUAGAAAAAAAAAUAUACUUAUGUUACUUUGGAUUUGUUGUAAGUUGACAUUUUCUAUUAUGUUUCUUCAGUGAAAAGUAAUCAAAUCCAUUGCUUCAAUCCUUUAGCCUGAUGCAAUAUUUUCAUAUGUGGGUAUACAUAUAUAUAUAAUAGUUGGGUAGAGUCUUCUUUUUCUUAUUCGUUUAAAAUUUUGUAUAAAAAGUGGCAGUUCAUUGAUUCUAUAUAUUUCCUUCUAUGAAUGCACGUGAUUCGACUCUUUUCAUACGUUUGUGGCAUCAUAUCUCAUGCUUCGAAUAGUACGAGUAGAGCUCCGUUGAUUCUCAAGUGAUAUGUCGGCAUCCAUUACUAUUUGUUUUACUUAAAAUUCUAUGUUCAUGUCAACGUGAUGUUCCAUUUAAGUAUCUAUUUUAUCUUAUCAUGUAUUAUCUUUUCUAAUAAAAAUGCAAAUUUUAAUUAUUUGUUUGUCCUUCUGCUUGUGAAAUAUGUUCCGGUCCUCACGGACUUUGUCUAUGCAUUUUCUCAUUGGGACACAAAGGACCGAAUCUCCAUAUUCUAAUAAGCUUGCAAAAUAGAAGAAAUAGUUCCGAAAGGCUUACAGAUACCAAAGUGAAAAGAAUCGAAGAAAGUCACAGAAGGCGGAUUGGAAGAUUUUUUUUAAUUUAUUAUGUUGUAUUUAUUUUGGGCAUACGCCCUUCUCAUUUUUACCUUGUAUUUAUUUUGUAUGUUUAGACUGAAGUGGGUCGAAAACCCAAACGAGAAAUAGGUUAAAAACCCAAAAAGCAGGUGGAUCCAAAUUUCGGUCAAGGCAGACAGAACCCGAAAUUGGACCCAAUCUCUCUCUCUCUCCCUCUUUACUAUAUUGUUUACAUGCUUUGUUUGAAUGCCAUUAGCUUAGGAUUAGGAAAACUCCAAUCCCCAUUGAAAGUCAUACUAUUUAUCAAACUUAAAACUAAACUAAAUUUUAAAACAAUAAUGUUCGAAAUUCGCAAGUUCGCUUAGAUUUAAAUUUUAGGAAGUUUAACUUCAAAUAAAAUUCGCAAAUCUUAAAAAAUAAUAUUAGUCAAAUGGUUAGUUGUCGGAAAGCCGCAUUAAGCGGAACGUCUUAGGUGCCUUCAAAACAUUCCUAAGACGUUAAUAAGAAUCCCCGAACCCUUUUAAAUGUUUUCAAACAAUUUUUCUGUUUAAGUUAUUUGAAAACAAUUUUCUUAAUUUCUCUUAAAAAAUUAAGUGGCGACUCCCUAAAAAGUCAAAAAUAUCUUAAAACAAAAUAAAUAAACUCUUUCAAUUUUUUCGAUAAAACAGAGUUGAUUCUAGUAUUUUUUUUUGUUAUGUAGUUGAAUAUAAUAGUUUGGGGGAAAGAAAUAAUUGAAUCUAGAGGGUUUAGAGUUGAAAAACAACUAAAAGAAUUCGUCAAUUAUCUGGGGAAGGGGUUCAGGCAUUGUGCCACUCUGAGUGCCACACAUCAAUCUCUAAAAUUUGUCCUCUAAGGCGCCGGAACUCCGGUGCACCCCAAGCAAUGCCAGGUAGUUCAGCAUGGUGCCCUGUUCCACUCAGAACACUAGGCGUUCUAAGUCUUCCACUUUUGACCACUUCUUUCCGUUUGAGUUCCCUUGCAUCGUACCUAAGUUUUUAAUCAAUUUCUAAACUCUAAGGUACAUCUAAAAAAGUGAGAACAUCCAUAACAUUAGAUCAUGAGCCUUUAAUCCAUAAUAAAGUAAAGAGUCAAGGCUAGAGAAGUUCAUAGAGUUUUCUAAAAUUCUUUCACAAAAAUUUUAAAUUUGUUUAAGACUUGAGUAUUAGGUUGAGUAAAGAGUACAAUGGAAGUUCAUUUCUUUAAAGGAUAUAUAGGAACUAAGUUUUCCCAAAGAAAAAAUGUUGCCACAUUUAAAUAUUAGAGGAAACAUCAAUUUCCAAAUGAGUUCUCACGAAUCGUUUUGAGUUCCAUAUCUAGUAAGAGAUAAGCUUUUUGAGUAAUUACCUCAAAUCACAAAAAAGAGUUUUGUUUUAAAAAAAUAUGAUUUGAGUAUAUUUUGGGACUAAUAUUAGGC